rnacentral:lncRNA from 1 species
GUAGGUUUGUUCACAUCAGUAUCACUGCAAACAUGUGAGUAAUGCAUUGCCCUAUGACAUUAUAAUGGCUAUGACAUCACUAGGUAAUAGGAAUUUUCCACUUCGGUAUAAUGUCAUGGGAUCACCAUCAUAUAUGUUGUCCAUCAUUGACUGAAACGUCAUUAUGCAGUGCAUGACUGUAUACGCUUUCCUGUCUUCUACAAGUGCCUUUCAUUGGCAGAAGCCACACGGCAGGGGAGCCCAUUGACAGAGUCCAUUCCAGUCAGCCUCUAGAGUGGAGGGCAGGGUUGACAAGAGAGGAGAGAGGAUACGGAGGGGAAGUGGAUGUUAUCCAGAAGAGUCCAUCUCUUUGUCCUCUCAGUAUAUGUGCUUAUCUUUAAGUGAAAAGUUCCUGUUCCCUUCACAGAGGACACAGGAAGUCUCAUCGCUAUGGCUCUAUGUUGGAUAAUUUUACUUUAAUCAUACUGCCUCUUCAAAGCAGUGGCAGGGGAAUAAAGGAAUAAUGGAAGGCAUAGCACCUGCAGUUCUUGAUUCUGAAGCAUAAGGUGUCUACUCUCACCAUGACUCCACGUUCCCCUUACCUUCUCCAGCUCCUCAGCUGGAUGUGGCUGGAUGGCGGUGACCCAAACCUUCGUUCUGCAGAAUCUCAGUGCCACCCCUGCCCCCACCUUUUUGGAUAG